rnacentral:rRNA from 1 species
GAUGAACGCUGGCGGCGUGCCUAAUACAUGCAAGUCGAGCGAACAGACGAGGAGCUUGCUCCUCUGGCGUUAGCGGCGGACGGGUGAGUAACACGUGGAUAACCUACCUAUAAGACUGGGAUAACUUCGGGAAACCGGAGCUAAUACCGGAUAACAUGUUGGACCGCAUGGUUCAACAGUGAAAGACGGUUUUGCUGUCACUUAUAGAUGGAUCCGCGCCGCAUUAGCUAGUUGGUAAGGUAACGGCUUACCAAGGCAACGAUGCGUAGCCGACCUGAGAGGGUGAUCGGCCACACUGGAUCUGAGACACGGUCCAGACUCCUACGGGAGGCAGCAGUAGGGAAUCUUCCGCAAUGGGCGAAAGCCUGACGGAGCAACGCCGCGUGAGUGAAGAAGGUCUUCGGAUCGUAAAACUCUGUUAUUAGGGAAGAACAAAUGUGUAAGUAACUAUGCACGUCUUGACGGUACCUAAUCAGAAAGCCACGGCUAACUACGUG